GAUGAAGAACGUAGCGAAAUGCGAUACUUGGUGUGAAUUGCAGAAUCCCGUGAACCAUCGAGUCUUUGAACGCAAGUUGCGCCCGAAGCCAUCAGGUUGGGGGCACGUCUGCCUGGGCGUCGCAUAUCGUUGCCCAAUGCCUAUUGCAGUGCAAUAGGAAUUUCUAGGGCGAAUGAUGGCUUCCCGUGAGCGUUGUUGCCUCGCGGUUGGUUGAAAAUCGAGUCCUUGGUAGGGUGUGCCAUGGUAGAUGGUGGUCGAGUUAGAACGAUACCGAUCAUGUGCAUGCUCCCCAAAAUAUGGCCUCUAUGACCCACACGCGUCUUUUGACGCUCAUGACGAGACCUCAGGUCAGGCGGGGCUACCCGCUGAAUUUAAGCAUAUCAAUAAGCGGAGGA
rnacentral:misc_RNA from 1 species